rnacentral:rRNA from 1 species
GAUGAACGCUGGCGGCGUGCUUAACACAUGCAAGUCGAACGGAAAGGCCCAAGCUUGCUUGGGUACUCGAGUGGCGAACGGGUGAGUAACACGUGGGUGAUCUGCCCUGCACUUCGGGAUAAGCCUGGGAAACUGGGUCUAAUACCGGAUAGGACGAUGGUUUGGAUGCCAUUGUGGAAAGUUUUUUCGGUGUGGGAUGAGCUCGCGGCCUAUCAGCUUGUUGGUGGGGUAAUGGCCUACCAAGGCGUCGACGGGUAGCCGGCCUGAGAGGGUGUACGGCCACAUUGGGACUGAGAUACGGCCCAGACUCCUACGGGAGGCAGCAGUGGGGAAUAUUGCACAAUGGGCGCAAGCCUGAUGCAGCGACGCCGCGUGGGGGAUGACGGCCUUCGGGUUGUAAACUCCUUUCGCUAGGGACGAAGCUUAUUUUGUGACGGUACCUGGAGAAGAAGCACCGGCUAACUACGUGCCAGCAGCCGCGGUAAUACGUAGGGUGCGAGCGUUGUCCGGAAUUACUGGGCGUAAAGAGCUCGUAGGUGGUUUGUCGCGUCGUUUGUGUAAGCCCGCAGCUUAACUGCGGGACUGCAGGCGAUACGGGCAUAACUUGAGUGCUGUAGGGGAGACUGGAAUUCCUGGUGUAGCGGUGGAAUGCGCAGAUAUCAGGAGGAACACCGAUGGCGAAGGCAGGUCUCUGGGCAGUAACUGACGCUGAGGAGCGAAAGCAUGGGGAGCGAACAGG